rnacentral:rRNA from 1 species
AUUGAACGCUGGCGGCAUGCUUUACACAUGCAAGUCGAACGGCAGCACGGACUUCGGUCUGGUGGCGAGUGGCGAACGGGUGAGUAAUACAUCGGAACGUGCCCAGUUGUGGGGGAUAACUACUCGAAAGAGUAGCUAAUACCGCAUGAGAACUGAGGUUGAAAGCAGGGGAUCGUAAGACCUUGCGCAACUGGAGCGGCCGAUGGCAGAUUAGGUAGUUGGUGGGAUAAAAGCUUACCAAGCCGACGAUCUGUAGCUGGUCUGAGAGGACGACCAGCCACACUGGGACUGAGACACGGCCCAGACUCCUACGGGAGGCAGCAGUGGGGAAUUUUGGACAAUGGGCGAAAGCCUGAUCCAGCAAUGCCGCGUGCAGGAUGAAGGCCUUCGGGUUGUAAACUGCUUUUGUACGGAACGAAAAGCUUCGGGCCAAUACCCUGGAGUCAUGACGGUACCGUAAGAAUAAGCACCGGCUAACUACGUGCCAGCCGCCGCUGUAAGAC